AAGUGGGAAAUAUGGUGUUGCUGGUGUUUGUAAUGGUGGAGGUGGUGCAUUUGCUCUUGUUGUAGAGCUUUUCUAAGACUUGAUAUUUAAGGCUUAUUGAGGACUUAGCUCAUCACAAUGUUGGAGGAGCUGUUAGAAAUAAGUUGUAUGCAACCUGUCAUUUAUGACAUUUUUUAUGCCCUUUAUAUGGCUCCAAUAAUGCAAGCAUUUUUUUAAAAUAAAAUAAAAUUAAUAGUGGUACAAAUGUUUUCAUACUUCGGUAGCUUUUGGUGUUUGUUUUUUUUUUUCCUUACUUCGCAUUUGGAAGUUUAGAUGAUAUGAUAGUAUUUGUUUUAUGUUGUACUAGGAACGACCAAUUGAAUGGGGGCAUAAGCUGUAUUCUUUGUAUCUCAUCUUUAAGUUUCUGUCUAUUCUUGAUUUUAAGUAAUAAUAAGCUGAAUGUUGAUUCCGAAAAUGGAAUUGGAUCCA